UACAAGGAAGACUAGUGUUAUUCAUCUUUAUUAGGUUUAAAGGGUACCUAGACAGUAUUUCUAGCCCCCAAAAGGGAACAGACUUACUAGAGUUUUUUAUGUGAGAGGCAAAUAUUAGAACCAUUAGAGUAGAGAUAAAAAGUUGUCAUACUAAUGUGACGGAUAACGGCGAAGGCAAACCUUUAUGUAAUAACUGACGUUGAGGGACGAAGGCUUGGGGAGCAAAUAGG
rnacentral:rRNA from 1 species